UGCCAUCGGGUUGGGCCGGGCACUCUGGAGGAACUGCCGGUGACAAGCCGGAGGAAGGUGGGGAUGACGUCAAGUCCUCAUGGCCCUUAUGGGCUGGGCUACACACGUGCUACAAUGGCGGUGACAGUGGGCAGCCAAGGCGCGAGCCGGAGCUAACCCCCAAAAACCGUCUCAGUUCGGAUUGUACGCUGCAACUCGCGUGCAUGAAGGUGGAAUCGCUAGUAAUCGUGGAUCAGCAUGCCACGGUGAAUACGUUCCCGGGCCUUGUACACACCGCCCGUCACACCAUGGGAGUUGGUUUGACCCGAAGCCGGUGAGCUAACCGCAAGGAAGCAGCCGUCCACGGUCAGGUCAGCGACUGGGGUG
rnacentral:rRNA from 1 species